rnacentral:lncRNA from 1 species
UAAGUUACUGGCGGAAAAUACGGAUUUAGUGGCGGAAAUAUUAAUUUGACCGUUGGGUGUUCUCACCAAUUACUGGCGGAAUAUUCCGCCACAAAGUGGUUGUGCCAAAUAGACAACAUAGUGGCGGAAAUAUCUGCCACAAAGUAGUAACCGUUUGAUUUCGAAUUAGUGGCGGAAUAUUCUGCCACAAUGUUUGUCCCGAGAUUUCGUCCAUAAACUUAGUGGCGGAAUAUUCUGCCUCUAAGUUUUAUUUUAUUUUUUUAAAAUCUUGGUAAAUGUACUGGCGGAAUUUAUGUUUUACUGGCGGAAUUUUCUACCACUAACUUAUUGAGGGAAAUAUUCCGUCACUAACUGAUUUUAAAUUC